rnacentral:rRNA from 1 species
GAUGAACGCUGGCGGCGUGCCUAAUACAUGCAAGUCGAGCGAAUGGAUUAAGAGCUUGCUCUUAUGAAGUUAGCGGCGGACGGGUGAGUAACACGUGGGUAACCUGCCCAUAAGACUGGGAUAACUCCGGGAAACCGGGGCUAAUACCGGAUAACAUUUUGAACCGCAUGGUUCGAAAGUGAAAGGCGGCUUCGGCUGUCACCUAUGGAUGGACCCGCGUCGCAUUAGCUAGUUGGUGAGGUAACGGCCAAACAAGGCAACGAUGCGUAGCCGACCUGAGAGGGUGAUCGGCCACACUGGGACUGAGACACGGCCCAGACUCCUACGGGAGGCAGCAGUAGGGAAUCUUCCGCAAUGGACGAAAGUCUGACGGAGCAACGCCGCGUGAGUGAUGAAGGCUUUCGGGUCGUAAAACUCUGUUGUUAGGGAAGAACAAGUGCUAGUUGAAUAAGCUGGCACCUUGACGGCACCUAACCAGAAAGCCACGGCUAACUACGUGCCAGCCGCCGCUGUAA